CCUACGGGAGGCAGCAGUAGGGAAUAUUGCUCAAUGGGGGAAACCCUGAAGCAGCAACGCCGCGUGGAGGAUGAAGGUUUUCGGAUUGUAACAUCCUUUUGUUAGAGAAGAUAAUGACGGUAUCUAACGAAUAAGCACCGGCUAACUCCGUGCCAGCAGACGCGGGAAUACGGAGGGUGCAAGCGUUACUCGGAAUCACUGGGCGUAAAGAGCGCGUAGGCGGGAUAGCAAGGCAGAUGUGAAAUCCUAUGGCUUAACCAUAGAACUGCAUUUGAAACUGUUAUUCUAGAGUAUGGGAGAGGUAGGUGGAAUUCUUGUUGUAGGGGUAAAUCCGUAGAGAUCAAGAGGAAUACUCAUUGCGAAGGCGACCUGCUAGAACAUAACUGACGCUGAUGCGCGAAAGCGUGGGGAGCAAACAGGAUUAGAUACCCGAGUAGUC
rnacentral:rRNA from 1 species